UCAAAUUUUAAGGUCAUGAUUUAAUACUUUAUCACAGAUAUCAAAUAAUUGAUCAUGUACAUCAAAUAUUGGUUCAUAUACCACUACUACCAACACUAUUGCCACCGCCACUUGCGACGCGAUGGUCGUCAGCACCACAACACCAACACCACUGCCAUCACCAUCACCAUCACCGACCGCCACCACCACUGUAAACACCUCCACCUGCACCAUCACAGCCAGCAGCUCCACCACGGCAUACAGCGUCGAUGUAUGACAGUUUUAAACCGUCAUGCCCCAUAAAAUUAGUCGCUACAUCCUGCUCCAACCACCAACCAGUUCCACCUCCAAACACCAUCCACAAAAAAAAAAAUAAAUAAAUAAAUAAAAAUAAAAAAAUAGCUAAGCUGCAGGAAGCGACGUUCACAACGCCGUCAUCUCCGAGCCGUAUCACCGCCACUACCACGUAAACCAUGGGCCACAGAAAAUCGUAGAAGAAAUGCCACAAAUCGAAGAAGAUUUUAGAUCACUGCCCCUGCACUUCCGCGCACAAAGGUUCCGAUCUCUUCAUUAAGCAGCGUGGUGCUGCUUAAGUGGUGGCGACGACGCAGUUGCUGCGAGGAGUGCUCCAAUGGCGGCGGCGGCGACGACAGCAUUUGACAGAGAGGAAGGCAUGAGAAGAAGGAGAGGAAGAAGAUGGGGAGGGAGAGUGAGAGUGAGAAGCAUGAAAUAAAAUUAGGGUUUGUAAUUGAAUUGGGUGAAAACAUUUGAUAUAUAAUUAUCAUGUCAAUACCUGAUCUUUUAAAAUGAAAUUUCAUCCCUGAUUUUUGAAUUAUGAUCUUUA
rnacentral:lncRNA from 1 species